rnacentral:rRNA from 1 species
UACGUAGGGUGCGAGCGUUAAUCGGAAUUACUGGGCGUAAAGCGUGCGCAGGCGGCUUUGCAAGACAGAUGUGAAAUCCCCGGGCUCAACCUGGGAACUGCAUUUGUGACUGCAAGGCUAGAGUACGGCAGAGGGGGAUGGAACUCCGCGUGUAGCAGUGAAAUGCGUAGAUAUGCGGAGGAACACCAAUGGCGAAGGCAAUCCCCUGGGCCUGUACUGACGCUCAUGCACGAAAGCGUGGGGAGCAAACAGG